AUGAAACAUUGCCUAGAAAGUCAGACCCAACUAAUCCUUCUCCAAUCAGUCAAUCACUGUCUGCCUCUCUCUCUCUCUCUCUCUCUCUCUCUCUCUCUCUCUCUCUCUCUCUCUCUCUCUCUCUCUCUCUCUCUCUCUCUCUCUGUCUGCCUGUCUCUGUCUGUGUGCCUGCCUGUCUGUCUGUCUCUCCCUCUGUGUCUGCCUCUCCCUCCCCCCCUCUCUUCCUGUGUGUGUCUGCCUGUCUCUGUCUGUCUGUCUCUCUCUGUCUGUCUCUCUCUCUCCCCUCCACAUCUUUCAGCAAGAGUUGACUGAAAUUCUAGGUAAAGAAUACUACAAAUCAGGAUCUAAGGGACCAAACAAUGUAAUAAGCCAUAAAAGGGCUUCUAAAAGUAUUAAUAGCUUUUUUAAAAAGACCCUUACCAUUUUCUUAGAAUCAAAACUGGCUUCGAGGCAGAGGAGUGUAAGGGCCAGGCAAUAGGGGUUAAGUGUCUCACCCAGUGUCACACAGCUAGGAAGUAUCUGAAGCCAGCUAGGAAGUAUCAAAUUUGAACCCAGGAUGAACUUCCCAUCUCUAGGCCUGGUUCUCUAUCCACUGAGCCACCUAGCUACAGCCCUUCUCCCCAACAGCUUUUUAAUUAAGGAAGGCCUUUGAGUAGAAAAUGUUUUACAGACUGAUGCAGUCUGUUAGGAAAAACUGAUUUAGAAAACAAGUCAUUAUCCAACCCUACUUUAGCUUUACUAUAGCUGUGAUCUGGCUGGAGGAAGGUAAAUGGACCAAAUUCCUCCGCAAGAUCCCUUUCAAGUCCAGGAUGCUAUGAUUGCACGAGACAGAUACCAGAGCAUAAGUUGCCACAUCUUUAAUAUGUGAAGGAACCAGUAGAAGGAGAACUAAUAGCGUUUGCUCCCAUCAUCUUCAGGUGCGGAGGCAGGCACGUUAGCAUAAAAUAGAAAAGAAUGACUCAAUAAGUAUCAAGAGUGUGAUAAGGCAGCUAAGAAAAAUAAUGCAAUCCUUAGAUUGCCCCGAGAAGCAUAAUGCCCAGAAUGUGGGAGGGGAAGAUCCUGCUGUUCUCCACCCUGAUCAGACUCCUUUGGAAAUACCAUAUUUAAUUCUGAGCCCCACAUUUUAGGAAGGAAAUAGACAUGCUGGAGGAGAGCAUCCGGAGGAAGGCAAUGGGUGGAGUGGAGUCUUGAGAUACGUCUAAAAAUGAUGAUGCUAAUGAUCAUUGGAAUAGCGCUUCGCUCUCUAAGGUUUGCCAAAGACUCUGAUGUACAGUAUCUUGAUGGACCCUCAUAAUCGUUCUGUGAGAUAAGUACUACAGAUUUACCCCACUGUACGGACUAAGGAACUGAGGCUGAAAGGAGUGAAGUGGCUGGCCCGUGGUGGGACUUGAACAGAGCUUCUUUGUUUUGUACAAACUGGUUAGAAGAUGUAGGGAUGUAUUCUUGGGGACAGAAGCCUGGGAGGCAACAUGAUAAUUGACUGCAAAUACCAGAAAGGCUGCCAAGUAGAAGAGGGUUUAGAUGUGUUCCAGAGGGCAGAACAAGGAGCAAAGGGCUUGAGUUGCCGAGAGGCAAAUUUUGGCUUGGAAUAAGAAAAAAACUUUCUAAUGAUGAGAGACAUCCAAAAGUAGAAUGUUCUGCCUCUGGAGAUCAUGGGUUGUCCUUCGCUCAUGAUCUUCCAUUGAAAGCAGGAUGAUCACUUGUUGGGUUGUUGUAAAGGGGAUUCUUAGCCAGGUACAGGCUGCACCAGAUGGCUGCUAAUGUCCCUUUCAGCCCCAAGCGUUGGUGAUUCUGGAACUUGAACCCCUUCUCUUCUGGGCCCACAAGAGAUCAAACUGUAACAGGAAAGAGAGCAGUCAUGCAUAAGUGAGGACAGGUUGCUCCACUGAAAGAUGACUGAACCCUCAAGCCAAAAAAAUGAAAUUUGGUCAUUCUUUUGAGUGUUUUGGUUUGGAAAUGAUUCUGAAGCUGCAAGCCUUCUAAUAACCAACAAAUAAGAAUUUAUUAAGCAUCUUCUAUGUACUAGACAAUGAAGAUACAAAAGUAAAAAUGAAACAGCCUCCAAGGAACUCACAUCUUAUUGGAGGAGACACAUAUGUGUGUACAAAGAAUAUACAAAAUAUAGUCAAUAAAAAAAUAUAACCCUUUUGAUAUGAAACA
ensembl:lncRNA